CAAAUUGGGUUUGUCUGCUGUUUUCUCCUGAUUCAGCUUAGGGAAAACCACCACAGAUGAUGUGCCACUCACACAGCACCACAUCACAGGUUGUAAUCCAUUACUACUGUUGUCUAUCCUGUGGCUCGAACUGCUCCAGCUUUGGCCAAUGCAGCACUUUUUGACGGACAUCUACCCUUCUGAUAUCUGACAGGCUGCCAUCACUCACCUUUCGUUUGCCCUACCCCAACCCUGGAACCAACCCCUUCCCUGAGGAGCCCUUAGGAUCCACCAUCUCAGGCUGGCUCUGGUCACUGAUGCAGGUGUCACUGCUCUAAGGCCCUCUGUCGACAGACUUAGAAAACAGAUGUGUUACACUAACUCACACAUGCAUAGACCCACAUUUCUCUCUCUCUGAAAAAACCAACAGCCCUAGUUCAUGCUGACACCUCCAACCCUGAUCCAGAACCACAGGAUAACUCUAGCACCAUCCUUCCUUAUUUGUAACUUCUUCCUAGAAUACGUACAGUUUUGAGAUUGCUAACCCAUGCCCCUAUGAGAAACAAGUGCACUAACCAGAGGUUUUAUCUUUAGCCUUACAGCAUCCUGUCAAAACACUGUUUUCCAAAGUUACUGAUAGGUCAGCUAAUUCUACAUCCAUUUCACUAUGGUUAUGGCAGCAUUCCCUAACCGUUUUGGCACCAAGGACCAAUUUCUUAGAAGACAGUUUUUCCACAGACUGGGGCGAGGAGGGGGGAUGGUUUCAGGAUGAAACUGUGCCACCUCAGAUCAUCACUCUAACAUCAUAGUUAGAGUCUCAAAAGGAGUGAGUGAGCAACCUAGAUCAUUCACAUGCACAGUUCACAACAGGGUUCAUGCUCCUAUGAGAAUCUAAUGCUGCUGCUGACCUGACAGGAGGCAGAGCUCAGGCAGUAAUGCUUGCCUGCCCUCUGCUCACCUCCUGCUCUGUGGCCCAGGUCCUAACAGGCUACGGACAGGUACCGAUCCGUGGCCUAGGGGUUGGGGACCCCGGAUUAUGGGAUAAGUUUGUAAUACCAUUUGAUUCAUCUGUCACAGUUUGUAUCACUUGGGCACUCCCCCCAGUAACACACACACAAACAUCUUUGUUGAUUUUAGUGAAAUUUUGUGGUGCACAGUUCCAUGGGUUUUGACAGGUGCACAGUCAAAUCUAACACAGUCCCAUCACUCCCCAAACUGCCUCUCACUCUCUUUGUAAUCAACUCCUUUUCCCCAACUCUUAACCCCUGGCAACCACUGAUUUGUUCUUCUUCCUUAUGGUUGUGCUUUUUCUAGAGCAUCCUUUAAAUAGAAUCAUACAAUAUGGAGGCCUUUUAGGUUUGGUUUCUUUCACUAAACAAAAUGAAUUUAAGAUUCAUCCAUGUUGUGGGAAUUAAUAGUUUGUUCCUUUUGACUUUUGAGUGGUAUUCUGCUGUAGAGAUGUUACCACAAUUUGUUUAUUCAUUCACCAGUUGAAGGAUAUCUGAUUUUGAGUGUUGGCAAUUACUGAAUAAAACUCUAUUAACAGUCACAUGCAGGUUUUGUGUGAGCAUGAAUUUUCACUUACCUUGGGUAAGCACCUAGGAGUGAGACUGCCAGGUCCUAAGGCAGUGUAACACAGUAAGAAGCUGCCACACUGUUUUCCAGAGUGGCUGUGCCAUUCUGCAUUCCCAGUAGCAGGGUUGGAGAGCAUAUUCCUGCCAGCACUUGGCACUGUCCUUGCCAGCACUGGGAUGCUUCGUGAUUGUUCUUUCAUCUUAGCUACUGAUGUAGGCCUGUGCUGGUACCUUAUGAAGAAGGUGCACAGCCUUCCAAAUCACCUAGGCCCACUGUGGCAGUCUCAUUCCCCAGAACAUACUGUUAUAUCUCUAGCUGGUCAGCUGCUUGCCCCAAAUGGUACUGUGGCCUUAGGCUAGGUGCAGUGUUUACCUUCCGGAUUGCUUGCAUUUGUUUCCCUAACAAUAAAUUAUGUUGGGCAUCACAGGCUUAUUUUUCUCUGCUUAUUUGCAUGGGCUUCUCUGCAAUCCAUGCAAGUUGUUUGGUGAAGUACAGGUUCACCAAAACUAUUCCCCAAUUUUUUACUGGGUUGUUUUCUUAUUGUUGAGUUUUAAGUGUUCUUUAUUAUUCUGGAUACUAACCCUUUGUCAGAUAUGUGACUUACAAAUGUGUUCUCUGAGAGUAGAAUUUUAAAAUUUUGAUAAAAUGCAAAUUAUAGAUUUUUUUCUUUUAUGGAUUGUGCUUUUGGUAUCAUAUCUAAAAACUCUGCCCAAGAUCAUGCAGACUUUCCUUUGGGUUUCUUCCAUAAGUUCUACAGUUUUACAUUCUACAUUUAGGUAUAUGAUCCAUUUUGAGUUCAUUUUUGUAUAAAAUGUGAGCUGUACAGGUUAUUUAUUUAUUUAUUUUUGCAUAUACACUCUAGUUUUCUAGUCCAUUUGUUGACAAGAUUACACUUUCUCCAUGGAAUAUAUUAAGAGGUGCCUUUACACCAGUCAAAAAUAAACCAACCAUAUCUGUAUGGACUUAUCUGGGGUCCUCUGUUCUGUUCCACUGACCUGUGUAUCUAUCUUUUCACCAAUACCACAUACCACUCUCUUGAUUGUGGUGAUUUUACAUUUUAUAGUAAAUCUUGUUCUUUUUUCUUUUUCAGAUGGAGUUUUGCUCUUGUUGCCCAGGCUAGAGUGCAAUGACAGGAUCUCUGCUCACCGCAACCUCCACCUCCCAGGUUCAAGUGAUUCUCCUGACUCAGCUUCCUGAGUAGCUGGGAUUACAGGCACCUGUCACCAUGCCCGGCUAAUUUUUUUUUUUUUUUUUUUUUUUUUUUUUUUGUAUUUUUAGUAGAGACAGGUUUUCACCAUGUUGGCCGGGCUGGUCUUGAACUCCUGACCUCAGGUGAUCUGCCCGCCUUGGCCUCCCAAAGUGUUGGGAUUACAGGCCUGAGCCACCACGCCCAGCCGUUGCUCUGCCUUUCUAAUGAUGACUUUAGGUAUCAGUUUUUAAUAUAAAGUUUAUCUUUUUUUUCUUUCACAGCUUGUGGUUUUUGUGUGGUAAGCAAUCUGCCUACUUUACAUUGUGAAAAUAUUGUUUUCUUCUUAAAACUUUACAGUUUUAGCCUUUUACAGUUCAUUCUACAAUCCAUCUAAAAUUAAUGCUAUGUCCACAGUAAGAGUGAGUAGUAGAGUUUCAUUUUUCCUUGCAUGUUUAUCCAGUUGAAAAAAUCUUUCCCUUCCCAAUUGAACUAUGUUGGUUGAAAAAACUUUGAUUUCUCCUGUUGUUGCACUGUGCAUCCUAGUGUUUUGUAAAUUAACUAUUCUUAUCUUCUUAGUUUUUUAUAAGUGUAAACAGGGGAAAUAUAAUUAUAAUUUCUUUUAAAAGAGCUCUCUUACUUAAUAAAGAAACAGGCUGGGCAUGGUGGCUCACGCAUGUAAUCCCAGCACUUUGGGAGGCUGAGGCGGGUGCAUCACCUGAGGUCAGGAGAUCAAGACCAUUCUGGUCAAUAUGCCAAAACCCUGUUUCUACUAAAAAUACAAAAAUUAGCCAGGUGUGGUGGUGGGUGCCUGUAGUCCCAGCUGCUCAGGAGGCUGAGGCAGGAGAAUUGCUUGAACCCAGGAGGCACAGGUUGCAGUGAGCCGAGAUCACGCCACUGCACUCCAGCCUGGGUGACAGAGCAAGACUCCAUCUUGAAAAAAAAGAACAAACGAACGAACAAAAGAAAGGACAGGAAAGGGAAAGGAAAAGAAAUAAAA